CAACGUACACAAGUUAUUCAUCACCCCCCGGUUAUUUUGCUGCAGCCGGACUGUGGCAGAUGGUGGCCUGUUACGGGGAGCCCCGGGACACUCGGGGUUGAAUGCUAUAGGAUUUUCUUUAGCCAUCCGGAGUUCCUGCCUUCGUCCCAGUGCUGGUAAAGACCAAGGUGGAAGAAUUUCCAGUGUUGCUGAGAACCGGACGAGACUUCAGAUCAAGCUAGCUGCCUGCAGAACUUACCUGGACUGUGAUUUACCUGGACUCUCUGCCUUUCUUGAUUACUUCUAGCAAAUGGAAACUUUUCUGUAACCCAAAAUUUGCUACAGUCUACUGCCUGGUUAUAGAAGAUUAUAAGAGGAGCAGGCUAGAUGUAGAUGAAUAACGUGAUGAAAGGACAAACAUAUCUUAUGUAACGUUGGAUGCCAAAAAUAAUACAGUGAAAUCCUGUUCUGUAAUUCCUAACCAUGUGAGUAUCCUCAUAAAAUAGUCUAUGAACACCUCCAUCUUGGCCUACCAGACUCCAGGUAUCUGUUAUGUCUACUUUUAAUUUAUCAAGACUUUUGGGCUGAUUAAUCACUAUAGGUAACUAUAUUCAAAAUGUUUACAUUUAAUUCUAGGAGAUCUAUGAACUGUCAUUUUUCUUCACCACACAUAAGAGUGUUUAUGACAUUGAACUGUGCACUACUUCAGAGGCAUCUUUAGAAUUCAGCACCAUGGCAGAAGACCCUAUAAGACUGUCCCUUUUGAUAGCCAUUUUCUCAGUCAAAGCCAGUCUAAGUACUGCUGGCAGAACCACCAGGGUCUCAAUCCAAGACGACCAAUGGACAGAGGUGUGUUUCCUGAGAAGAUCUCAGACAGCUCCACCCAACCUCUCCCCUGGCCUCUGUACUUCUACCAAAGUGAUAGAGAAGGACCUGGGUACUUUGUGAUCUCUGUCUUGGGACUCCAAAACAUGAUUUAACUAGAGAUGAAACUCACUGGAAAAAUUUUUUAAAAAAAAAAAAGAAAGAAAGAAAGACAAUAACAAAAAAAUAUAUGUUAGAGAUUUUAUCUUUAAACAACAUAUAUAGGAAUCUUAUAAUUGGCAAUCUCCUAAAAUGUUUUUUACUAAUUAUUUAUAAUAGCAGAUAUUGAAACUAUCAUGCAAAAUGCCUUAUUAAAACAUUCUGAGUCUCCAACCAAUGGACUGAAAUUCAAGAAUUCAGUAGGGAUUGAUGACGGGUACAUCAUUUGAAGAUAAAAUUAAUUUCUGAAUUGCAAAAUUCAAAGUACAUAGAUGAUGAAGGAACAAGGAUUUAUAACAUGUAGCUGAUCAAAGCUGUCACCAGUUGUUCAAUGCAUAUUUACAUAAAACAAAAUGUCAUAAUAUUCCUGAAGACAGGUAAAUCAAAAUCACUCAGUUUGUCAAGCAUAGUAAACAGAAAAAUUCUCCAAAGAGUAAUAACAUUUAUUUGGGAGAAGCAGAGUAUCAUGAUGGGAAUGGCAUGUGCCACAAUGAAAUAUGAACAUAUUCAAAGAGGUUGAGGCAAGGUGAAGUUUUAAAGGCAAAAAUAUAAAGUUAAUUCAGCUACUUGGAUACAGAGUUCAUUGGUCUAGUAGACUGGAGGCUGGGGUGGGCUCCAGCUCAUUGAUGAAGGUACAGUUGCUAGGCAAAUGUUCUGUUCAGAGCAUCUUAUCUGAAUUGCUACAGUCUUAAAGAACGUUAAAGAUACAUGUGGCUACAGAACUCUGUGCAUACUUGCAAGGUGUGUAAAGCAUGGAUGAAGGUACUCCUUCAUAGCUUUCAGACUAAUUUUGUCUGGAUCUGACAAGUACAAUUUCAUAUUAUUAUCAACAUAUACAAUUUCAUUCCCAUUUUUUUUCUCUCUUGAUUUGUAUUCAAAUGGUCUGGAAACUCUCUAAGAAAUACCUUCUUUCCUAUUCCAAGUACUCCCUACCCCCACUUGUGUAUUCAAGCAGUCCUUCUGACUGGUGUCAGCUAUCAAUUAUUUCUAUAUCCAAAUGUCCUUUCUGGAAUGCCUUUAUGUGAGAUAGGUUCGCACAUGCUUGUGUGUGAUGACCUUAUUUUAGCUAGUAUUUGCCUUCCGAAUUCUUUUAGAAUAUUUUUAUUUACGGAACAUCUAGGAGAUAUGGUCAGUACAGAAUUUAGAAAAAGAGUCAAAACAGAAAGAAUGGCACUAGAAAUUACCUGUGUAGAACAACCUGAAGCCCUGAAAAAAAAAAAGAUAAAAUACUAAUAAUAAUGCAAUGAAGGAAUCAAAAGUAGAAAGUAGGGGCAGAGGUCAUGGCUUUGAGUAUAUCACAAAAAUUACUGCAGAAAUUGCAUCACAGGGCUGAGUUACAGAGUGGAAAAGAAAGCAGAGAAUGCUCAGACCACUGCCCUAGUAUCUAGGGCUUGGGACACAAACUUUGCCUGAAUGAAAGAAGCAAGGUGGAGAGUGAAGAAAACCCUAGGAGAAUUCUGCCACAGGAUGUGGGUUAGCCACGCAGGAGGUUGCCAAUGAGGAAAUUGUAAAAGAACAUCAAGCGGGGAAAAGAUCUAGUACAAACCGAACAGGAAUGCUUUGCUUUUGAUCCCCAGAACCUCAGGGGCUUAAGAACUAACACAAAGUUUUAAAGGGAAGUAAAACUGAGUUAUCAAAGAAUCUGAACUGUGACAUUAGACUCUAGAAACUAAGGGGCUGCUUCACAAUUUCACUUCCCUAAUUUAAGGCCAGAUGAAACCAUGCUGGGGUUGUCUGAUAACAUAUGAUGUGCAUGUGUGAAACCACUGUGGAUACAUGGGUUAAAAUAUUGCAGUGGGAGAGCUGAGUGUAGCUCAGUGAUAAAGUACUUGCCUAGCAUGAGUGUGGGCCUGGAUUUUAAGUCCAGCACUGCAAAAAGAAAAAAAAAAAGUUUUAGUGAGAGCAAUUUCACAAUUGAGCAUAAGUGUUCUUUAUUUUCCUUGAGAUUUGGUGGUUUUUGAUUUUGUUUAACGAGUUGAGGCCCCACUGACAGAUGUAAGCUUUGAUCAAAAGAACUGUAUUGUGGAAUCUAUGAGGAGUUCCUUGUUUGUAUCUAACUCAAAUCAAAGGGUUCAAGAUUAACUGCUAACUUCCAGUAAGCUUCUAACCUUCUAGAUAUGACAUCGUUGCUCAAGAGUCACAAAUACACACAACAAAGCCACUACACAACAUCUGACUUCCUUAAGCAGAACCUUGCAAAUCCAAAGUUGUGAAAAGACACGAGAACAUACAAUUUUGAUGAUCGCGUGAUUGGAACUGUAUGCACCACAACUUUCAAAUUACCAUUAUCGGUGUCCCAACGUUGAACAUAGGAACAUAUAAGCUCUUUUCAAAAAUAAACAAACAGCAUGA